AUGCAGUCGAACGGAAGGCCCCUUCGGGGGUACUCGAGUGGCGAACGGGUGAGUAACACGUGGGUGACCUGCCCUGCACUUCGGGAUAAGCCUGGGAAACUGGGUCUAAUACCGGAUAGGACCGCAUCGUGAGGAUGUGGUGGAAAGUUUUUUCGGUGCAGGAUGGGCCCGCGGCCUAUCAGCUUGUUGGUGGGGUAAUGGCCUACCAAGGCGGCGACGGGUAGCCGGCCUGAGAGGGUGGACGGCCACAUUGGGACUGAGACACGGCCCAGACUCCUACGGGAGGCAGCAGUGGGGAAUAUUGCACAAUGGGCGCAAGCCUGAUGCAGCGACGCCGCGUGGGGGAUGAAGGCCUUCGGGUUGUAAACUCCUUUCAUCAUCGACGAAGGGCUCACUUGUUGUGGGUUUGACGGUAGGUGGAGAAGAAGCACCGGCUAACUACGUGCCAGCAGCCGCGGUAAUACGUAGGGUGCGAGCGUUGUCCGGAAUUACUGGGCGUAAAGAGCUCGUAGGUGGUUUGUCGCGUCGUCUGUGAAAUUCCGGGGCUUAACUCCGGGCGUGCAGGCGAUACGGGCAUAACUUGAGUGCUGUAGGGGAGACUGGAAUUCCUGGUGUAGCGGUGAAAUGCGCAGAUAUCAGGAGGAACACCGAUGGCGAAGGCAGGUCUCUGGGCAGUAACUGACGCUGAGGAGCGAAAGCAUGGGGAGCAAACAGGAUUAGAUACCCUGGUAGUCCAUGCCGUAAACGGUGGGCGCUAGGUUGUAGGGGUCUUCCACGACUUCUGUGCCGUAGCUAACGCAUUAA
rnacentral:rRNA from 1 species